GUGAAAAAUAGCCUAGUUUUUGGAAGUCUCUUGGAUCCAAGGACUACUGGUAUUGGUGUAUUAGGUAGAUAUGGAAUCAUCAGUACCAAUAAUGGUGCGGUGUAUUUGUGGGAAUUGUCCAGAGGAUCCAAGCUUGGUACUCUGCAUCAUUUCCAAGAUGGCAACGCAACAUGUGUUGGUACCGAUGAUUCGAGAAGUGCCUUGGGAGUGGCUGGUGCUGGAGGUCAGUUGUUGCUUUAUCUACACCUUGGUGAACUAGAUUCAAAUUAACAAGUGAACAAGGAUAGUGUUAUUUUCUCAUCGAUCUAGCAUACGAGCUUGUAAAGAAAUUGUUACCUUUAUA